rnacentral:rRNA from 1 species
CAGCAGUGGGGAAUAUUGCACAAUGGGCGAAAGCCUGAUGCAGCAACGCCGCGUGAGGGAUGACGGCCUUCGGGUUGUAAACCUCUUUUAGCAGGGAAGAAGCGAAAGUGACGGUACCUGCAGAAAAAGCGCCGGCUAACUACGUGCCAGCAGCCGCGGUAAUACGUAGGGCGCAAGCGUUAUCCGGAAUUAUUGGGCGUAAAGAGCUCGUAGGCGGUUUGUCGCGUCUGCUGUGAAAUCCCGAGGCUCAACUUCGGGUCUGCAGUGGGUACGGGCAGACUAGAGUGCGGUAGGGGAGAUUGGAAUUCCUGGUGUAGCGGUGGAAUGCGCAGAUAUCAGGAGGAACACCGAUGGCGAAGGCAGAUCUCUGGGCCGUAACUGACGCUGAGGAGCGAAAGGGUGGGGAGCAAACAGGCUUAGAUACCCUGGUAGUCCACCCCGUAAACGUUGGGAACUAGUUGUGGGGUCCAUUCCACGGAUUCCGUGACGCAGCU